AUCCUUAGGUCGCUGGUUCGAUUCCGG
rnacentral:piRNA from 3 species